rnacentral:rRNA from 1 species
AUGGCACGGCAAAAUGCUGCCUCGGCGCUCGCCGUGGCGUUGGUCGUCGGAGUCUUCGCACCCAUCCUUACCGAGGUGCAAUCCAUCGGCGUCUGCAACGGGAUGCUCGGCGACAACCUGCCGUCGCCGGCCGACGUGGUGCAGUUCUACCAGUGCCAGGGCAUCGGCGCCAUGCGCAUCUACGCGCCGGACCCCGAGACGCUCCGGGCGCUCGAUGGCACCGGCAUCAUCCUCAUCAUGGACGUGGGCAACGGCGACCUCGCCGCCCUCGCCUCCGACCCUGCAGCGGCGGCCGGCUGGGUCCGGGACAACGUGCUCGCCUACCCGAGCGUCCGCGUCAAGUACGUCGCGGCCGGCAACAAGGUGGAUGGCGGUGACACGCGGAACAUCCUCUAG